GAUGAACGCUGGCGGCGUGCCUAAUACAUGCAAGUCGAGCGAACAGACGAGGAGCUUGCUCCUCUGACGUUAGCGGCGGACGGGUGAGUAACACGUGGAUAACCUACCUAUAAGACUGGGAUAACUUCGGGAAACCGGAGCUAAUACCGGAUAAUAUAUUGAACCGCAUGGUUCAAUAGUGAAAGACGGUUUUGCUAUCACUUAUAGAUGGAUCCGCGCCGCAUUAGCUAGUUGGUAAGGUAACGGCUUACCAAGGCAACGAUGCGUAGCCGACCUGAGAGGGUGAUCGGCCACACUGAAACUGAGACACGGUCCAGACUCCUACGGGAGGCAGCAGUAGGGAAUCUGCCGCAAUGGGCGAAAGCCUGACGGAGCAACGCCGCGUGAGUGAUGAAGGUCUUCGGAUCGUAAAACUCUGUUAUUAGGGAAGAACAAAUGUGUAAGUAACUAUGCACGUCUUGACGGUACCUAAUCAGAAAGCCACGGCUAACUACGUG
rnacentral:rRNA from 1 species